rnacentral:lncRNA from 1 species
GCCGAGUAGAGCCAUCAGACCUGACGUGCGAAACCCGCCACUAGUGAGGUAAUCAUAGCAACCUUGUCUCAUUGCCUCUUUUGCUUCGUCCGUCGAUGCAACUAGUGCUUGAGAAAAUGCGUUUCCUAAUAUGUUCACUGUCGCUGACAUUGGCUUCACCAUACAAAAACAUUCAUUUUUAAGUAUAAUUAUGUGAAGUUGGUAACAAGUUUAGAAAUUUGGAAUGUUCAUAUAUUAAUUAGUAUGUGACGUAGGCUCACCUUGCGGAUACUAUAAAAGGACUUAAUGACUUCGGAGACUUUGUUAGCAUCACCAAGGUUGCUUAGUGGCUGGAGAAGACGACGUAGAAUGAGAAUAUCAGAAAAUAAAACCAUCAUUCCAGCCGCGACUGAUGGAUGACGCAUGUUGAAUGCAUCUCCCAACACAAUCACCCCUUUUUUCUUGCUUAAAGUAGCUGACAUGCACUUCGCUGGCACAACUUUUAUGUGUGCUCCCUCAUCUAAACCUUUCAAAAAUAUUUCGCGAAGUUUUGGAGGUACCUUUAAACAAAGUGUAAACCGGUGUUACUAACAUAUUGUGCACGAAGUUAUAUAUGGACCUUUUACAAUAUGCGUAUUGUAUGACUUAUAUAGACUAUAUCUAUGUACCAGUAUGAACAACUUAAUCAAUAUAUGUUUAGUUCCUGUUUUUUCAUUAAUCAGCCCAACACUUACCUCAGGAGCAAGGUUGUUCUUUACAAAAGUAGCCAUUUCACCUUUUGCAAUAGAAGGAAAAUUGUCGGGGAAAAGCUCGAAACCACAACGAACAUCGGUGCUGCUUAUUUGAUACAAUAUGAUGUAGGAGGGUUUAGUCAUUAUCAAGUGAAGGUUUUCUGGAUCUUCAAGCCGGCAAUUUUUUGUGAUGUAACCAACUUGGUAAGACAGAACAGCCGCCUAUAUAUGAAGUUAAUAUAAUACAUUGAUUAACUAAAAAGACUAAAUCAAACUGAUCAGUAACAUCAAUUUAAAAUGUCAUUAACGUAUACUUACACUGUUGUCGUUAAGAGACCGGCGAAGGUUUGAAUAACAACCGUCGCAUACGACAGUGAGAGGUGCCAAGGCUGUUGUUUCUUCGCCUGCUUUAUUCUUAUAUGUCACUCCUUUGAUAACUCCUUCUUCUUCUAUUAAUGACUUCACCGUUCCUUCUUCGAGCCGCACACUACCAAUCAUAUACAAAAAAAAAAAAAAAAAAAUAAUUGCUAUUUGUCAAGUUUAGUAGUAUUUUCUAAUAUUAAAAUUUUAUUAGGAAUUAAUUUGACGUUUAAAGGGCACCUAACUAAUUAAUUUAGGAGUUAAUUUGGACGUUUGGAGGACCUACCACCUAGCUAAUUAAUCAGAGAAUAAUUAAGGACUUAUUCAUAGUUCAGUUCUUAUAAAGUUUUAUUUUAUAGAAAAAGUUCAUUUUAUCGAUUUUUUUGGGGUGAAAAUUUAUCAAAAUUUAUUAGCAUCCAUUAAUUGGAUAUGAAUCAGGUUUAUAUUUUUUUUGUUCACUCAAUAGAUCAUUUCCACAUGUAUACUUAUUUUGGAUCAACCUGAUUCUAAUACUAGAUAUAUCUUAACAUUUCUUUUUAAUGUAUAUAUGAUCGGGUGAACAGGGAGAGAGAGAGCUACGUACUUAGGAAGAGAAGAAGCCUUUUGCCGCAGUCGUUGGACAAAUCGGCCAUUGUGAAAAAACCGAGCAGAAGGAUCAUAAGGAAAGUUGUUGUCCACCGGAAAAGAUGCGAUUGCGUUUUUUCCAUCCUUAUAAACUGCCAUGCCCGUUGCUUUUUGGGCAUCUAUACCAUCUAGGCAAUCUAUAUAUAUAUAUAUAUAUAUAUAUAAACACACAAGUUCGGUCACGAAACUAAGACAAAAUAUGUCUUUUUGAUUCAUAUACGUUUAUAAACGUCAAUAUGUGUACCAAUUUUAUGGUGGUUCAAGAGUUAGUGCAUUCAUUAAGGUUUAGAAUCCCAUAGUUCAAAUUAUACUAGAAGUUACAAUCAUGGUUGGCCACAAUGAACGCCUUAAAUGACAAGAAUAUAGAAUUUCCACAAGUUUGGAAUAUUAGUAUGAAUUUGGUGUAGAUUCUCUGAUAAAAAAUAAGAAAAGAAAUGUAAAUGUUUAUGAAUGUGAAAGAGAGAACAGACCUUGAAGGCCAAGCUUAGAAAGCAUGAGUCGUCCUCCAGGUUGCAUAAACUCACCCAUCAUUCUCUCUGGUUCUCUCAUGUCCCUCUCUAUCACAUGUACUCGACGCCCGUCCUAUUAAUCAAAAAUUAGUUAGCAUAAGGUUGUUCGUCCCAACCCAAAAUAUUGCUGUAAAAUUAUUAUGCAAAAGCGUAUCGAGGAUCACUCUGAAAACAUGAUUUUGUACAAAAAAAAAAAAAAUCUCUAGUCGUCAAUUUUUACAAUUUUACUUUUUAUCUCUAGAAACUACAAAUCAAUCAUACAAAAUAAAAUAAAAAUAUGCUUUAUAAGUCUAGUAUAUAUCUUUAAAAUGUUUUCACAGUCACACACAUUAAAUUUUUAAAUUCUUCAAAUAGAUUUUGGAUUGGACUCCGUAAGAACUUUAAUUUGAUACAUUAUAAAUAGUAUCUUACAAACUUGGCCGUAAUAAAGAAAGAUUAUAAUUAACAGUAGUAUUUUCUUAUUUAAAAAAUUGACUACUCGGAAGAUUGUUGUCACAACCCAAAAUAUGGCAACAGAAAUAUAUUAUGCAAAAUAACAAUAAUCAUAGUGUAUAUAGUUAUUAUCUUAUUCAUUCAUGCACAUUUAUUAAACAAGAAAACAACAAUCAAGUUAAAUACCUUAGCAAGAGCAUAUGCGAGAGCCGAGCCGCCGACACCAGCUCCAACGAUGAUGACAUCGGCAGCACCGUCUCUUCUCUUCUCUGCUGUCGCAUCCGCCAUCUCCACGGUCGGCUUCUUUUUCUUGUUUGUAAAGUAGAACACAGUCCACGUUAUAGGGAAGACGAGUAAUGUCCAUAAACAAAUGUGCGUAAAAGCCAUAUCCAUAUCUAUCAGACUAUAACUAUGAUAUAUGAGCUUGCUUCUUAGAAUGGUUUUAGAUUAUAUAAUGCAAAGAUACGUCAGUUUGGACGUGGCGUCACCACAUGUUAACUUUUGAUAUAUAUCGAUAUUGUUUGAAAGCAAUAAAUUGAAAUGUUCUGUUGUCCACACAACUGUAAUGAUUUAUGAGCUGUCUACGUUGGAGUUUACAAACGAUAUUUAUAUUUCAGAUACAAACACAAAGCCACGGGCCACCCUAGUUAAUGAUUUUGUUAGUAUAUAGAGCAAGCGACUUCAAUGUAGCAUUCAAAUUAUUGAUACCUUUGAUACUGUUGAGUGACUAAUUAAAAAAUAGUAACGCUACAUGUAGCAAUCAGUCCACAACAUCGGCAAAGAUAAAAUAAAACAAUUAAUUUCCUCCAUCUUUUAUUUAUGGCUGAGAGACAUCAAAGAAAAAUCUGGAAACAUCGAACCACCCUUGAGUAAUUUAACUGAAAUGAUAUCUUAUACAUAUAUGUAUUCAUAUAUUUAGUGUUAUAUAUACAUAACUUUAUAAUAUAAGUACCUUUAUACAGAAUGAUAUGUUUGAACGCGGAAUGAUUAAAUCAUUGACAACCCAAAGUCAAACCUAUAAGAUAAUCUUUUUUGAUUUUCGAAAUGUGUUCAUAAAAAGUUUAACAUAAUGGAAUAUAUAUAUAAAACUAAUUAAGCAUUAUAGUGCAGUUUAAUUUUCGAGUUGCAUGUGUGUUAUAAGUUAUAAAAUAGUUUAAAACUAAAAGUAACCUUCCAACAUACAAAAGUUUUUUAAUAAACUAAAAAUUAGUCUUAAGAUAAAUUAGUAUAAGAAUUAUGCGGAGAUGAUAGAUUAAUCUUUGAUUGUAAUGCUUCUUUAAUUUGUUUUGCACGUGUUUUAUAUACACGAUGUUACAAACAAAUAUACAGGGAAAUAAAAGUAACAUAUAUUCCUAUACUCCCCCAAACUCUUCCAUACAGUAAACAUACAUGUUUUACAUCUUACAUGUUUUUAAUUUUUUGUUUUUUGGGACAAAACAAAACAUCUUGCAUGUAUACUAUAUAGAAAUAGGUACACACUAUUAUUUAUGAGAAAUCACAUAAUAUUCCACCAACUAUAUUUAGUCAUUUCUAUAAUUGGAUCUUUUUUUUGUCAACAAUUGGACUUGUUUUCUCUGGGUAUAAAUUUAAUAGAGUACACAAAAACAGAGCAUUUAAAAAAAAAGGAGAUUAAUACUCUUUUUCUUUCUUUCUUGAAAACUUAAUCUUAGUACUUCUUCUGUUUCACAAAAAGUGGUUAUUCUAGAUUUUAUUUUUGUUUAAUAAAAAAUGUUAUUUUAUAUUGUCAACGCAUCUUUUACACUAAAAUCCUAAUUUUACCUUUAAUUUAAAAUUCAUAAAACUAUUAAAUAGAGGCAUAUUAAAGACUCGUCUAAUAGUAUAUUCUUUGCAAAAUUAUGGCUCUAGAUGGACAAUUUAACGCAAUUAAAGACUCGUCUAAUACAGUAGGUGGAUCUAGGCAUUACCAAUUAAUGCGAUGCUUCGAAGAUGCACAAUCACUAAAGAUUGGUGUUCAAUGUUCUUAUUAAACUGCAUUACAGUUUUGACAAAUGCACAAUCACUAAGAUUGGUGUUCAAUGUUCUUAUUAAACUGCAUUACAAUUUUGACAAAUGCACAAUCACUAAGAUUGGUGCUCAAUAUAUGCCUCAAUGUUUAGAGAGCAGUUGCUGCGGCCAUAUAUCUUUUGCGAUACGCGGCUGCAUUUGCUGGAAACAACAUAUGGGUAACUCCUUCAGCCUUGAGAUGGGGAACCAACAUUUUCAUAGCCAACUAGUGAUUCACACAGAACAUACAUCAACAAAAUAUAUAUAUGUAUAUAAUGUCGAAUAGUGAUUGUAAACUAAAAAAGAGUGUUACUAAAAAUAUACAUAUUAUAGAAAUAAUAUGAUAUAAAAAGAGAUGAAAUUAAUGACUUACACCAAAAAGCCUAAGGCUAUGCCAAAUGCGAAGGGGAGAGGGAAAUGGAGAGAGCAGAUGGGCAGUGGAGGAUAAAGUGAUAGCACAAAGAUGAUAGAUGAGAGAGAGCGGACGAGGAUUCAUGCCGCCGAGCAAAGCCAUCAUCCCUGACGUGCGAAACCCGCCACUAGUGAGGUAAUCAUAGCAACCUUGUCUCAUUGCCUCUUUGGCUUCGUCCGUUGAUGCAACUAGUGCUUGAGAAAAUGCGUUUCCUAAUAUGUUCACUGUCGCUGACAUUGGCUUCACCAUACAAAAACAUUCAUUUUUAAGUAUAAUUAUGUGAAGUUGGU